rnacentral:lncRNA from 1 species
GCCUUCUAGAACAGCAGCGCCCUCUCUCGUCACAGAGGAAAUGUAAACAGUGGACACAGGGUUCAGCACUUGGUACGUUGGUAGAAGAUGGGCGAAGUACGUUGUGACUCACCGGUUUAGCAUGUCGCUGCUACUUGGUGAAUGUUGUUGGAAAUUCGUUUUUCAAUAUCCACUUCGUCCUACAUCCAGGGAGACAAUUGCCAUUCUAUAACUUUGUCCCGAUUGAUGAGCUUGGAUUAUGACCUUUCGAAGCCCCACAACGAACAGGACGGUUAUCGUUCGUCCCAGGUGAGUCAUGCCAUAGUGUUCGUUAUUUUUAUAAGUUGUAUUCAAUCGCACGGAUGAAUGUAUGCAUGUAUGUUUAUAAUAUAUAUCUUUUUAACUAAACUAACGAAAUGGAAAAUAAUAAAAGCGUAUCGAAAUAACUAAACUUUUUCGAAACUGGUAUCGGUAAUUAUGCUGAUUUACCGGUCAGAGCAGGAAGAAAACCAGACAAACAAUUGAUGUACGAUCGAAAGGGCACAAUUCACCUUCAUUUUUUUCCUUUUUUUUAUAAAGGAAGGUCUUUAAAAUCGGGUCAUUCUACUGCAGCAUACAA